UGCAGAAUUCGGCUUGCGGCCGCGGUAAUACGUAGGGUGCAAGCGUUAUCCGGAAUUAAUUGGGCGUAAAGAGCUCGUAGGCGGUUUGUCGCGUCUGCUGUGAAAAACUGGGGGCUCACCCCCCAGCCCUGCAGUGGGUACGGGCAGACUAGAGUGCGGUAGGGGAGAUUGGAAUUCCUGGUGUAGCGGUGGAAUGCGCAGAUAUCAGGAGGAACACCGAUGGCGAAGGCAGAUCUCUGGGCCGUAACUGACGCUGAGGAGCGAAAGGGUGGGGAGCAAACAGGCUUAGAUACCCUGGUAGUCCACCCCGUAAACGUUGGGAACUAGUUGUGGGGUCCAUUCCACGGAUUCCGUGACGCAGCUAACGCAUUAAGUUCCCCGCCUGGGGAGUACGGCCGCAAGGCUAAAACUCAAAGGAAUUGACGGGGACCCGCACAAGCGGCGGAGCAUGCGGAUUAAUUCGAUGCAACGCGAAGAACCUUACCAAGGCUUGACAUAUACGAGAACGCUGCAGAAAUGUAGAACUCUUUGGACACUCGUAAACAGGUGGUGCAUGGUUGUCGUCAGCUCGUGUCGUGAGAUGUUGGGUUAAGUCCCGCAACGAGCGCAACCCUCGUUCUAUGUUGCCAGCACGUAAUGGUGGGAACUCAUGGGAUACUGCCGGGGUCAACUCGGAGGAAGGUGGGGAUGACGUCAAAUCAUCAUGCCCCUUAUGUCUUGGGCUUCACGCAUGCUACAAUGGCCGGUACAAAGGGCUGCAAUACCGUAAGGUGGAGCGAAUCCCAAAAAGCCGGUCCCAGUUCGGAUUGAGGUCUGCAACUCGACCUCAUGAAGUCGGAGUCGCUAGUAAUCGCAGAUCAGCAACGCUGUCGUGAUC
rnacentral:rRNA from 1 species